CCGAGUUUACAACUCCCAAACCCCUGUGAACAUACCACUUGUUGCCUCGGCGGAUCAGCCCGCUCCCGGUAAAACGGGACGGCCGCCAGAGGACCCCUAAACUCUGUUUCUAUAUGUAACUUCUGAGUAAAACCAUAAAUAAAUCA
rnacentral:misc_RNA from 1 species